rnacentral:rRNA from 1 species
GUGAAGGUAAAAAGUCGUAACAAGGUCUCCGUUGGUGAACCAGCGGAGGGAUCAUUACCGAGUUUACAACUCCCAAACCCCUGUGAACAUACCACUUGUUGCCUCGGCGGAUCAGCCCGCUCCCGGUAAAACGGGACGGCCCGCCAGAGGACCCCUAAACUCUGUUUCUAUAUGUAACUUCUGAGUAAAACCAUAAAUAAAUCAAAACUUUCAACAACGGAUCUCUUGGUUCUGGCAUCGAUGAAGAACGCAGCAAAAUGCGAUAAGUAAUGUGAAUUGCAGAAUUCAGUGAAUCAUCGAAUCUUUGAACGCACAUUGCGCCCGCCAGUAUUCUGGCGGGCAUGCCUGUUCGAGCGUCAUUUCAACCCUCAAGCACAGCUUGGUGUUGGGACUCGCGUUAAUUCGCGUUCCUCAAAUUGAUUGGCGGUCACGUCGAGCUUCCAUAGCGUAGUAGUAAAACCCUCGUUACUGGUAAUCGUCGCGGCCACGCCGUUAAACCCCAACUUCUGAAUGUUGACCUCGGAUCAGGUGAAUG